rnacentral:rRNA from 1 species
UCUGAAUCUGCGUACGGCUCCGCAAACCAGUUGUAAACUAUAGCAAGCAGGCUCGGGGUCGGCUCUCACGGGUUGGCUUCGGGCGAUAUGGAUAACCCUGGUAAUUCUGAGGCUAAUACAUGAACGUAAAACCUGGUUGACUGGGCUUCGGUCUGGGAGGCUGGGGGAUGUGUGAUUGCAGGCUUGGGUAACACCGGGAAAGGGCGCACGUCCAGACCGCGCUAUAAAGGAUGGGACCUCUUCGGGGGACCCGCCCCAGCGGCUCUUGCUGUGUGCUUCUGACCUAUCAACUAGACGGCAGCGUAAGGGACAUGCUAUGGU